rnacentral:rRNA from 1 species
UACGGGGGGGGGCAAGCGUUUGUUCGGAAUUACUGGGCGUAAAGGGCUCGUAGGCGGCUAACUAAGUCAGACGUGAAAUCCCCAGGCUUAACCUGGGAACUGCGUCUGAUACUGGAUGGCUUGAAUCCGGGAGAGGGAUGCAGAAUUCCAGGUGUAGCGGUGAAAAUGCGUAGAUAUCUGGAGGAAUACCGGUGGCGAAGGCGGCAUCCUGGACCGGCAUUGACGCUGAGGAGCGAAAGCUAGGGGAGCAAACGGG